rnacentral:rRNA from 1 species
AUUGAACGCUGGCGGCAGGCCUAACACAUGCAAGUCGAGCGGUAGAGAGGAGCUUGCUUCUCUUGAGAGCGGCGGACGGGUGAGUAGUGCCUAGGAAUCUGCCUGGUAGUGGGGGAUAACGUCCGGAAACGGACGCUAAUACCGCAUACGUCCUACGGGAGAAAGUGGGGGAUCUUCGGACCUCACGCUAUCAGAUGAGCCUAGGUCGGAUUAGCUUGUUGGUGAGGUAAUGGCUCACCAAGGCGACGAUCCGUAACUGGUCUGAGAGGAUGAUCAGUCACACUGGAACGGAGACACGGUCCAGACUCCUACGGGAGGCAGCAGUGGGGAAUAUUGGACAAUGGGCGAAAGCCUGAUCCAGCCAUGCCGCGUGUGUGAAGAAGGUCUUCGGAUUGUAAAGCACUUUAAGUUGGGAGGAAGGGUUGUAGAUUAAUACUCUGCAAUUUUGACGUUACCGACAGAAUAAGCACCGGCUAACUUCGUGCCAGCAGCCGCCGCCG